GCCUGGGUGGCUCAGUCAGUUAAGCAUCCGACUUCAGCUCAGGUCAUGAUCUCACGGUCCGUGAGUCCGUGAGUUCGAGCCCCGCCUCGGGCU
rnacentral:tRNA from 1 species